rnacentral:tRNA from 1 species
GCGGAUAUGAUGAAAUUGGUAGACAUGCCAGUUUUAGGCACUGGUGGAGAAAUCCUUGGGGGUUCAAGUCCCUUUAUCCGCA